GGCCGGUUGGCCCAAUGGCAAGGCGUCUGACUACGAUUUCUAUCGUGCAAUCAGGAGAUUCUGGGUUCGACCCCCAGGCUGGUCA
rnacentral:tRNA from 1 species